UAAGCAUAUCAAUAAGCGGAGGAAAAGAAACCAACAGGGAUUGCCUUAGUAACGGCGAGUGAAGCGGCAACAGCUCAAAUUUGAAAGCUGGCCCUUUCAGGGUCCGCGUUGUAAUUUGUAGAGGAUGAUUCGGCGAGGGCUCCCGCCUAAGUCCCCUGGAACGGGGCGUCAUAGAGGGUGAGAAUCCCGUAUGCGGUGGGCUGCCUUAGCCAUGUGAAUCUCCUUCGACGAGUCGAGUUGUUUGGGAAUGCAGCUCUAAAUGGGAGGUAAAUUUCUUCUAAAGCUAAAUACCGGCCAGAGACCGAUAGCGCACAAGUAGAGUGAUCGAAAGAUGAAAAGCACUUUGGAAAGAGAGUUAAAAAGUACGUGAAAUUGUUGAAAGGGAAGCGCUUGCAACCAGACUUGUCCGCAGUUGCUCAGCCGGUCUCCUGACCGGCGUACUCUUCUGCGGCCAGGCCAGCAUCAGUUCGGGCGGUCGGAUAAAGACCUCGGGAAUGUAGCUCCUCUCGGGGAGUGUUAUAGCCCGGGGUGGAAUGCGGCCAGCCUGGACUGAGGAUCUCGCUUCGGCAAGGAUGCUGGCGUAAUGG
rnacentral:rRNA from 1 species